AGAGUUUGAUCCUGGCUCAGGAUGAACGCUGGCGGCGUGCCUAAGACAUGCAAGUCGAGUGGGUUUAGGCCCACGGCAAACGGGUGAGUAAUAUCUAGGAACAUACCUCGAGUUGAGCAUAACCUACCGAAAGGUAGAGCAAUUCUCAAUGUGACCGCAAGGUUAAAGUCGCAAGACGCUCGAGAAGUGGCCUGGACACCAUCAGCUAGUUGGUAAGGUAAAGGCUUACCAAGGCUUUGACGGUUAGGGGCCCCGAGAGGGGAAACCCCCACACUGGAACUGAGACACGGUCCAGACUCCUACGGGAGGCAGCAGUUUGGAAUUUUGGACAAUGGGCGAAAGCCUGAUCCAGCGACGCCGCGUGGACGAUGAAGGUCUUCGGAUCGUAAAGUCCUUUUGUUAGGGAAGAAUAUUUUGACGGUACCUAACGAAUAAGAGGUUGCUAACUCUGUGCCAGCAGCAGCGGUAAUACAGAGACCUCGAGCGUUAUCCGGAAUCAUUGGGCGUAAAGCGUACCGAUAGGUGGUUAAGAAAGUCAGAUGUGAAAUCUCCGAGCUCAACUCGGAAUCUGUCAUUUGAAACUUCUUGACUAGAGGAGCAAAGAGGAAGCUGGAACGAACGGUGUAGUAGUGAAAUGCGUUGAUAUCGUUCGGAACACCAAUAGCGUAGGCAGGCUUCUGGGUGCUACCUGACACUGCUAGGACGAAAGCGUGGGGAGCGAAGGGGAUUAGAUACCCCCGUAGUCCACGCUGUAAACGAUGUACAUUAGGCGCUAGGGAGUAUCGACCCUCUUUAGUGCCAAAGCUAACGCGUUAAAUGUACCGCCUGGGGAGUACGGCCGCAAGGCUAAAACUCAAAGGAAUUGACGG
rnacentral:rRNA from 1 species